rnacentral:rRNA from 1 species
UCUUGCACAAUGGGGGAAACCCUGAUGCAGCGACGCCGCGUGAGCGAUGAAGCCCUUCGGGGUGUAAAGCUCUUUCGGCAGGGAAGAUGAUGACGGUACCUGCAGAAGCAGCUGCGGCUAACUACGUGCCAGCAGCCGCGGUAAUACGUAGGCAGCAAGCGUUGUUCGGAGUUACUGGGCGUAAAGGGUGUGUAGGCGGUUCUUUAAGUUUGGUGUGAAAUCUCCCGGCGCAACUGGGAGGGUGCGCCGAAUACUGAGGGACGCGAGUGCGGGAGAGGAAAGUGGAAUUCCUGGUGUAGCGGUGAAAUGCGUGGAUAUCAGGAGGAACACCGGUGGUGUAAACGGCUUUCUGAACCGUAACUGACGCUGAGACACGAAAGCGUGGGUAGCAAACA